rnacentral:sRNA from 1 species
UAAAUUUCCAAAAUUUGGAGAGUAGGCC